UAAUACAUAAGUAACCUGCCCUAGACAGGGGGAUAACUAUUGGAAACGAUAGCUAAGACCGCAUAGGUACGGACACUGCAUGGUGACCGUAUUAAAAGUGCCUCAAAGCACUGGUAGAGGAUGGACUUAUGGCGCAUUAGCUGGUUGGCGGGGUAACGGCCCACCGAGGCGACGAUGCGUAGCCGACCUGAGAGGGUGACCGGCCACACUGGGACUGAGACACGGCCCAG
rnacentral:rRNA from 1 species